UGUUUGUUUGUUUUGUUUUUUGUCUUUUUAGGGACAAACCCACGGCACAUGGAGGUUCCCAGGCGAGGGGUCCAAUUCGAGCUGUACCUCUGGCUUAUGCCAGAGCCACAGCAAUGUGGGAUCUGAGCCGCAUCUGCGACCCACACCACAGCUCACAGCAACGCCAGAUCCUUAACCCACUGAGCAAGGCCAGGGAUUGAACCUGAGUCCUCAUGGAUGCUAAUCAGGUUUGUUAACCACCAAGCCACGACGGGAACUCCCUGUGUUACUUUAGCUUGAAUUGAUUUCACAAAGGACUUAAAUCAUGAGAUGGGGAUCCAAUAUCAAGCUUAUAUACCCUGUUAUUGAUAUAAUGUCUAAAACAGGAUUGCUUAUAAGGUGGGGGAAGGCUAACAGGGCAAUUCAUUGACAGUAAGAGACCGAAGAGUCUAUGUUUGGCUCUUAUAGUUCGUGCCUAGAGAACAAGCGAUUAAGAUCUUUGAAUAAUCUGAAUAUCAUAGUUAUAUACCACUGGGAGAUCAACGUUUAGUAUUUAAAAUGCCUAAGUAAAGUUUUAGUAAACUGAUGGAUUUUUCAAGAAUCUAUUUACUUCUUUUAGUUAUUCACGGGGUGUUUCCGUAAGGAUUAAAAAUAGGUUAAAAUCGAACCGCUAAAACAAGUAGCUAAAACCAUCUUCAUCUAGUAAAUUGUUAAAUGCUGGCACGAUACCAUUUUGAUACAAAGUUGUGCUAAAAAUGCUUUUCUGUUUACCGAUUUUUACUGAUAACCACCGUUUCCUCUAAAAUUCUGUAGAUAGAAACACUUCAUUUGAGCCAGAAAAUUUUAUAACUGAUGGAAGCUCUUAAACCAUCUAUAGGGUUUUCUACUUUUUUGUGUAUCAAAAUCAAUAUUUCCUGCUUCAAGGAAGCUCUACUGCUUUUGUUUAAAUCGUUAUAUUAUCAGUGCUAAUGCACAUCUAAAAUUGAUCACCCAGAAUUCCCAUCGUGGCUCAGCAGAAAUGAAUCUGAUUAGUAAUCACGAGAACACAGAUUCGAUCCCUGGCCUUGCUCAGUGGGUUAGGGAUCCAGCGUUGGUGUUGCCAUGAGCUGUGAUGUAGGUCACAGAUGCGGCUCAGAUCCAGCAUUGCCGUGGCUACGGCAUAAGCCAGAGGUACAGUUCUGAUUCGACCCCUAGCCUGGGAAUUCCCAUAUGCUGUGGGUGCAGCCCUAAAAAGACAAAAUAAAUAAAUUAAUUAAUUCAUUAAAAUAAAAUUGAUCAUCCAU
rnacentral:lncRNA from 1 species